GUACACGCUGUGACUAGCAUAUCAAUAAGCGGAGGAAAAGAGGGCCAGUACCUACGCUUAGGAUGUUGACACACGCGCGUGCUCGGCUCUAUACAUGACUCUGCGCAUAUCAAUAAGCGGAGGAAAAGCCAACUACCUACGCUUAGGAUGUUGACGCACGCGCGUGCUCGCGUCUAUACAUGACUCUGUGCAUAUCAAUAAGCGGAGGAAAAGGGGGCCAUUACCUACGCUUAGGAUGUUGACACACGCGCGUGCUCGGCUCUAUACAUGACUCUGCGCAUAUCAAUAAGCGGAGGAAAAGGGAAUCGGUCGCCCCAGUACCUACGCUUAGGAUGUUGACGCACGCGCGUGCUCGCGUCUAUACAUGACUCUGUGCAUAUCAAUAAGCGGAGGAAAAGGGGGCCAUUACCUACGCUUAGGAUGUUGACACACGCGCGUGCUCGACUCUAUACAUGACUCUGCGCAUAUCAAUAAGCGGAGGAAAAGGCUGCGGAACUGAACGACCGCUACCUACGCUUAGGAUGUUGACACACGCGCGUGCUCGAUCUAUACAUGACUCUGCGCAUAUCAAUAAGCGGAGGAAAGAGGGCUAUUACCUACGCUUAGGAUGUUGACGAGACUGUCGAUCUCAUCUAUACAUGACUCUGGCGCAUAUCAAUAAGCGGAGGAAAAGGCGUUUACCUACGCUUAGGAUGUUGAAGAUGUAGCACAUCAU
rnacentral:rRNA from 1 species